GCCAUCAAUUAAGGGUAUCUUUCACUCUAUUUCCUUGCUAAAUUGUCAAAAUCACCUUUGUUUUAGAUGAAAUGCAUUACAUUGAUAAACAAGCUUGGUGCCUUUGAUUUGUGUGUUAUUGUGCAGGAAGAAGGCAUGAAAUAAUUGAAAUUUAAGACACAAGAAAGUUGGCAAAGGAACCAAAGAAAAACAAGCAUUCAUCAUCAUGCUCGCUAGGCGAAUGCUGUGGCGAAGCCUGCUCGCUAGGCGAGCGCCCAGCGAAAAGCUCCAGUAAAAUGUGAAUAAAUUCGCCAGGCGAGCUGAUAGCGAAGGUGGUAGCGAGUUCGUUCAGUUUUGGUGAAAAGCGCAGCCAGCACUCUAAACCUUGUUUCUAGGCGAAGCUCUAGCGAGUCCCCAGCGAGCAUUCCAGUAGCAAAACCUCUCAACCUCGCUGGGGUGAAGGUUGAAGUGUGUCCUUCGCUAGACGAAGGUUUGUUCGCUAGGCGAAC
rnacentral:lncRNA from 1 species